rnacentral:rRNA from 1 species
GAUGAACGCUAGCGGCAGGCUUAACACAUGCAAUACGAUGAUGAGAGUGGCGCACGGGUGCGUAACGCGUAUGCAACCUACCUUUAACAGGUGAAUAGCCCCGAGAAAUCGGGAUUAAUACACCGUAACAUUGCGAAGUGGCAUCACUAUGCAAUUAAAGAUUUAUCGGUUAAAGAUGGGCAUGCGUGACAUUAGCUAGUUGGUGAGGUAACGGCUCACCAAGGCAACGAUGUCUAGGGGUCCUGAGAGGGUUAUCCCCCACACUGGUACUGAGACACGGACCAGACUCCUACGGGAGGCAGCAGUAAGGAAUAUUGGUCAAUGGGCGCAAGCCUGAACCAGCCAUGCCGCGUGCAGGAAGACGGCCCUAUGGGUUGUAAACUGCUUUUGUCAGGGAAUAAACCUAUCUACGCGUAGAUAGCUGAAGGUACCUGAAGAAUAAGCAUCGGCUAACUCCGUGCCAGCAGCCGCGGU